GGGUUGUGAGGUUAAGCGACUAAGCGUACACGGUGGAUGCCCUGGCAGUCAGAGGCGAUGAAGGACGUGCUAAUCUGCGAAAAGCGUCGGUAAGGUGAUAUGAACCGUUAUAACCGGCGAUGUCCGAAUGGGGAAACCCAGUGCAAUUCGUUGCACUAUCGUUAACUGAAUACAUAGGUUAACGAGGCGAACCGGGGGAACUGAAACAUCUAAGUACCCCGAGGAAAAGAAAUCAACCGAGAUUCCCCCAGUAGCGGCGAGCGAACGGGGAGCAGCCCAGAGUCUGAAUCAGCUUGUGUGUUAGUGGAACGGUCUGGAAAGUCCGACGGUACAGGGUGAUAGUCCCGUACACCAAAAUGCACAGGUUGUGAACUCGAAGAGUAGGGCGGGACACGUGGUAUCCUGUCUGAAUAUGGGGGGACCAUCCUCCAAGGCUAAAUACUCCUGACUGACCGAUAGUGAACCAGUACCGUGAGGGAAAGGCGAAAAGAACCCCGGCGAGGGGAGUGAAAAAGAACCUGAAACCGUGUACGUACAAGCAGUGGGAGCACCUUCGGGUGUGACUGCGUACCUUUUGUAUAAUGGGUCAGCGACUUAUAUUCUGUAGCAAGGUUAACCGUAUAGGGGAGCCGCAGGGAAACCGAGUCUUAACUGGGCGUUAAGUUGCAGGGUAUAGACCCGAAACCCGGUGAUCUAGCCAUGGGCAGGUUGAAGGUUGGGUAACACUAACUGGAGGACCGAACCGACUAAUGUUGAAAAAUUAGCGGAUGACUUGUGGCUGGGGGUGAAAGGCCAAUCAAACCGGGAGAUAGCUGGUUCUCCCCGAAAGCUAUUUAGGUAGCGCCUCGUGAACUCAUCUUCGGGGUAGAGCACUGUUUCGGCUAGGGGGUCAUCCCGACUUACCAACCCGAUGCAAACUACGAAUACCGAAGAAUGUUAUCACGGGAGACACACGGCGGGUGCUAACGUCCGUCGUGAAGAGGGAAACAACCCAGACCGCCAGCUAAGGUCCCAAAGUCAUGGUUAAGUGGGAAACGAUGUGGGAAGGCACAGACAGCCAGGAUGUUGGCUUAGAAGCAGCCAUCAUUUAAAGAAAGCGUAAUAGCUCACUGGUCGAGUCGGCCUGCGCGGAAGAUGUAACGGGGCUAAACCAUGCACCGAAGCUGCGGCAGCGACACUAUGUGUUGUUGGGUAGGGGAGCGUUCUGUAAGCCUGCGAAGGUGACCUGUGAGGGUUGCUGGAGGUAUCAGAAGUGCGAAUGCUGACAUAAGUAACGAUAAAGCGGGUGAAAAGCCCGCUCGCCGGAAGACCAAGGGUUCCUGUCCAACGUUAAUCGGGGCAGGGUGAGUCGACCCCUAAGGCGAGGCCGAAAGGCGUAGUCGAUGGGAAACAGGUUAAUAUUCCUGUACUUGGUGUUACUGCGAAGGGGGGACGGAGAAGGCUAUGUUAGCCGGGCGACGGUUGUCCCGGUUUAAGCAUGUAGGCUGGUUGUCCAGGCAAAUCCGGAUAAUCAAGGCUGAGGUGUGAUGACGAGGCACUACGGUGCUGAAGUAACAAAUGCCCUGCUUCCAGGAAAAGCCUCUAAGCAUCAGGUAACAUUAAAUCGUACCCCAAACCGACACAGGUGGUCAGGUAGAGAAUACCAAGGCGCUUGAGAGAACUCGGGUGAAGGAACUAGGCAAAAUGGUGCCGUAACUUCGGGAGAAGGCACGCUGGUGUGUAGGUGAAGCCCCUGCGGGUGGAGCUGAGACCAGUCGAAGAUACCAGCUGGCUGCAACUGUUUAUUAAAAACACAGCACUGUGCAAACACGAAAGUGGACGUAUACGGUGUGACGCCUGCCCGGUGCCGGAAGGUUAAUUGAUGGGGUUAUCCGUAAGGAGAAGCUCUUGAUCGAAGCCCCGGUAAACGGCGGCCGUAACUAUAACGGUCCUAAGGUAGCGAAAUUCCUUGUCGGGUAAGUUCCGACCUGCACGAAUGGCGUAAUGAUGGCCAGGCUGUCUCCACCCGAGACUCAGUGAAAUUGAACUCGCUGUGAAGAUGCAGUGUACCCGCGGCAAGACGGAAAGACCCCGUGAACCUUUACUAUAGCUUGACACUGAACAUUGAGCCUUGAUGUGUAGGAUAGGUGGGAGGCUUUGAAGCGUGGACGCCAGUCUGCGUGGAGCCAACCUUGAAAUACCACCCUUUAAUGUUUGAUGUUCUAACGUUGGCCCCUUACCGGGGUUGCGGACAGUGUCUGGUGGGUAGUUUGACUGGGGCGGUCUCCUCCUAAAGCGUAACGGAGGAGCACGAAGGUUAGCUAAUCCUGGUCGGACAUCAGGAGGUUAGUGCAAUGGCAUAAGCUAGCUUGACUGCGAGCGUGACGGCGCGAGCAGGUGCGAAAGCAGGUCAUAGUGAUCCGGUGGUUCUGAAUGGAAGGGCCAUCGCUCAACGGAUAAAAGGUACUCCGGGGAUAACAGGCUGAUACCGCCCAAGAGUUCAUAUCGACGGCGGUGUUUGGCACCUCGAUGUCGGCUCAUCACAUCCUGGGGCUGAAGUAGGUCCCAAGGGUAUGGCUGUUCGCCAUUUAAAGUGGUACGCGAGCUGGGUUUAGAACGUCGUGAGACAGUUCGGUCCCUAUCUGCCGUGGGCGCUGGAGAAUUGAGGGGGGCUGCUCCUAGUACGAGAGGACCGGAGUGGACGCAUCACUGGUGUUCGGGUUGUCAUGCCAAUGGCACUGCCCGGUAGCUAAAUGCGGAAGAGAUAAGUGCUGAAAGCAUCUAAGCACGAAACUUGCCCCGAGAUGAGUUCUCCCUGAGACUUUAAGUCUCCUGAAGGAACGUUGAAGACGACGACGUUGAUAGGCCGGGUGUGUAAGCGCAGCGAUGCGUUGAGCUAACCGGUACUAAUGAACCGUGAGGCUUAACCUUACAACGCCGAAG
rnacentral:rRNA from 1 species